rnacentral:rRNA from 1 species
CGUAGGGUGCGAGCGUUGCCCGGAUUUAUUGGACGUAAAGGGCGCGCAGGCGGCUCGGCACGUCCGUUGUGAAAUCGCCCGGCUCAACUGGGCGGGGUCAGCGGAUACGGCCGAGCUGGAGCAAGCUAGGGGGCAAUGGAAUUUCCGGUGUAGUGGUGGAAUGCGUAGAUAUCGGGAGGAACACCAGUGGCGAAGGCGGUUGCCUGGAGCUUUGCUGACGCUGAGGCGCGAAAGCGUGGGGAGCGAUCCGGAUUAGAUACCCGGGUAGUCCACGCCGUAAACGAUGCGGACUAGGUGUCGGGGGUAUCGACCCCCUCGGCGCCGCAGCUAACGCAUUAAGUCCGCCGCCUGGGGACUACGGCCGCAAGGCUA